UCCCAGAUAGCUCAGUUGGUAAAGAAUCUGCCUGCAAUGCAGGAGACCUCGGUUCGAUUCUUGGGUUGGGAA
rnacentral:tRNA from 1 species